rnacentral:rRNA from 1 species
GGCUAACGCUGGCGGCGUGUCUUAGCCAUGCAAGUCGAGCGGACUUAUGGGGUAACUUAUAAGUCAGCGGCGGACGGCGGAGUAACACGUAGCUAACCUACCCUCUGGACGGGGAUAACCUACCGAAAGGUGGGCUAAUACCCGAUGUAGUCAUCCUGUAUAGGGGUGAUGAAAGGUGGGCUUCUGUUUACAAGCUCAUGCUGGAGGAGGGGGCUGCGGCCUAUCAGGUAGUUGGUAGGGUAAUAGCCUACCAAGCCGAUGACGGGUAGCCGGCCUGAGAGGGUGACCGGCCCGGAGGGGCACUGAGAUACGGGUCCCACUCCUACGGGAGGCAGCAGGCUAGAAAUUUGGGCAAUGGGGGAAACCCUGACCCAGUGACGCCGCGUGCAGGAAGGAGCCCUUCGGGGUGUAAACUGCUGUCGUGUAGGGAGAAGGGUACUAAGGUGAACAAUCUUAGUACUUGACGGUACUACAGGAGGAAGCCCAGGCUAACCUCGUG